rnacentral:snRNA from 1 species
GUGUUCGCUUCGGCAGCAUGUAUACUAAAACUGGAACGAUACAGUGAAGAUUAACAUGGCCCCUGCGUGAGGAUGACAUGCAGAUUCAUGAAGCGUUCCAUACUUUU